GAAGCAGCUUGCUGCUUUGCUGACGAGUGGCGGACGGGUGAGUAAUGUCUGGGAAACUGCCUGAUGGAGGGGGAUAACUACUGGAAACGGUAGCUAAUACCGCAUAACGUCGCAAGACCAAAGAGGGGGACCUUCGGGCCUCUUGCCAUCGGAUGUGCCCAGAUGGGAUUAGCUUGUUGGUGGGGUAACGGCUCACCAAGGCGACGAUCCCUAGCUGGUCUGAGAGGAUGACCAGCCACACUGGAACUGAGACACGGUCCAGACUCCUACGGGAGGCAGCAGUGGGGAAUAUUGCACAAUGGGCGCAAGCCUGAUGCAGCCAUGCCGCGUGUAUGAAGAAGGCCUUCGGGUUGUAAAGUACUUUCAGCGGGGAGGAAGGGAGUAAAGUUAAUACCUUUGCUCAUUGACGUUACCCGCAGAAGAAGCACCGGCUAACUCCGUGCCAGCAGCCGCGGUAAUACGGAGGGUGCAAGCGUUAAUCGGAAUUACUGGGCGUAAAGCGCACG
rnacentral:rRNA from 1 species